rnacentral:rRNA from 1 species
AGAGUUUGAUCCUGGCUCAGAAUCAACGCUGGCGGCGUGCCUAACACAUGCAAGUCGCACGAGAAAGGGGAGCAAUCCCUGAGUAAAGUGGCGCACGGGUGAGUAACACGUGAAUGAUCUACCUCCGAGUGGGGAAUAACUGAGAGAAAUCUUAGCUAAUACCGCAUAAUACCCACGGGUCAAAGCAGCAAUGCGCUUGGAGAGGAGUUCGCGGCAGAUUAGUUAGUUGGCGGGGUAAUGGCCCACCAAGACGAUGAUCUGUAUCCGGCCUGAGAGGGCGCACGGACACACUGGAACUGAAACACGGUCCAGACUCCUACGGGAGGCAGCAGUGGGGAAUUUUGCGCAAUGGGGGAAACCCUGACGCAGCAACGCCGCGUGGAGGAUGAAGCCCCUUGGGGUGUAAACUCCUUUCGAUCGGGAAGAUAAUGACGGUACCGAUAUAAGAAGCCCCGGCUAACUUCGUGCCGGCAGCCGCGAUAAUACGAGGGGGGCAAGCGUUGUUCGGAAUUAUUGGGCGUAAAGGGUGCGUAGGCGGUCUGAUAAGUCAUCUGUGAAAUCUAUGGGCUCAACCCAUAGUCUGCAGGCGAAACUGUCGGGCUUGAGUAUGGGAGAGGUGAGUGGAAUUUCCGGUGUAGCGGUGAAAUGCGUAGAUAUCGGAAGGAACACCUGUGGCGAAAGCGGCUCACUGGACCAUUACUGACGCUGAGGCACGAAAGCUAGGGGAGCAAACAGGAUUAGAUACCCUGGUAGUCC